GCAAAAUACACCAUCGCGAUAAAGCUAAUCCGAUGUUAAAGAAACACAUGCCAUAUAUAUAUAUAUAUAUAUAAGACAAACAUGUUCACUCAAUAUGGUUAGCCCACAUAGCUGUGGCUAUAGAUUCCCUUAGUAAUUCUUCUCACAAUGCAUCUUCUGACUCUUCUCUACUACUGCGAUGUUGAUCUUGAUAAAUAUCAUUGUUUGUAAGUUCUGCAUCCACCUCUGCAAAUAUAUUUUCAUCUGGAUCUACAUUCAUCAAGUAAUUAUGCAAAAUGCAACAAGCAAGAAUAAUUUCCUUUUGUUUUUUCACUCCAUAAUGUGGUUCUGUAUAACUUGCAAUAAUAGGAAAUCGUUUCUUAACUACACCAAAGGCUCGUUCAAUUGCAUUACGUAGUGAUGCAUGUCGAAGAUUAAACAAUUCACGUGCAUUUUGUGGUGGAUUUGGUGAAUACUCUUUCAAAUGAUAGUGUUCUCCCCUAUAAGGUGUAAUUAAUCCACUUCUCAACAUGAAUCCAGCAUCAACAAGAUAGUAUUUUCCGAAAACAGUUACAAUUGUCAUAAAAUUAGUUUACGAACAGACAAUACCUAACUCAUAAGAGUUAUCAAUAUUACCUUCAGGAAUUUUAAUAGGGCAUUGUCUUGUUAAAGCAUUUUUCAAAAUUCU
rnacentral:misc_RNA from 1 species